rnacentral:rRNA from 1 species
UACAGAGGUGGCAAGCGUUGUUCGGAAUUACUGGGCGUAAAGGGCGCGUAGGCGGCCUUCUAAGUCAGACGUGAAAUCCCCCGGCUUAACCUGGGAACUGCGUCUGAUACUGGGAGGCUUGAGUAUGGGAGAGGGAUGUAGAAUUCCAGGUGUAGCGGUGAGAUGCGUAGAUAUCCGGAGGAAUACCGGUGGCGAAGGCGGCAUCCUGGACCAUAACUGACGCUGAGGCGCGAAAGCUAGGGGAGCAAACGGG